rnacentral:rRNA from 1 species
CCUACGGGAGGCAGCAGUAGGGAAUAUUGCUCAAUGGGGGAAACCCUGAAGCAGCAACGCCGCGUGGAGGAUGAAGGUUUUCGGUUUGUAAACCCCUUUCGUCAGAGAAGAAAAUGACGGUAUCUAACUAAUAAGCCCCGGCUAACUCCGUUCCAGCAGCCGCGGUAUACGGAGGGGGCAAGGGUUACUCGGAAUCACUGGGCGUAAAGAGGGCGUAGGCGGGAGAGCAAGUCAGAUGUGAAAUCCUAUGGCUUAACCAUAGAACUGCAUUUGAAACUGUUAUUCUAGAGUUUGGGAGAGGUAGGUGGAAUUCUUGGUGUAGGGGUAAAAUCCGUAGAGAUCAAGAGGAAUACUCAUUGCGAAGGCGACCUGCUAGAACAUAACUGACGCUGAUGCGCGAAAGCGUGGGGAGCAAACAGGAUUAGAUACCCCUGUAGUC